CUAUAAUUGUCAGCUAAGUGGCGCACGGGUGAGUAAUGUAUAGAUAACCUGCCCUUAAGAAAGGAAUAACAGUUGGAAACGACUGCUAAUGCCCUAUAUGCCUUUAAUACAUAAGUAUGCAAGGGAAACGCUUUAGUGCUUAAGGAUGGGUCUGUAUGGUAUCAGCUUGUUGGUGAGGUAAUGGCUCACCAAGGCUAUGACGCCUAACUGGUUUGAGAGGAUGAUCAGUCACACUGGAACUGAGACACGGUCCAGACUCCUACGGGAGGCAGCAGUGGGGAAUAUUGCACAAUGGACGAAAGUCUGAUGCAGCAACGCCGCGUGGAGGAUGACACGUUUCGGUGCGUAAACUCCUUUUAUAUAGGAAGAUAAUGACGGUACUAUAUGAAUAAGCACCGGCUAACUCCGUGCCAGCAGCCGCGGUAAUACGGAGGGUGCAAGCGUUACUCGGAAUCACUGGGCGUAAAGAGCGUGUAGGCGGGUAUAUAAGUCAGAAGUGAAAUCCAAUAGCUCAACUAUUGAACUGCUUUUGAAACUGUAUACCUAGAAUGUGGGAGAGGUAGAUGGAAUUUCUGGUGUAGGGGUAAAAUCCGUAGAGAUCAGAAGGAAUACCGAUUGCGAAGGCGAUCUACUGGAACAUUAUUGACGCUGAGACGCGAAAGCGUGGGGAGCAAACAGGAUUAGAUACCCUGGUAGUCCACGCCCUAAACGAUGUACACUAGUUGUUGUGAGGCUCGACCUUGCAGUAAUGCAGUUAACACAUUAAGUGUACCGCCUGGGGAGUACGGUCGCAAGAUUAA
rnacentral:rRNA from 1 species